AGAGUAUCUAUGUAAUUCACGAGAUACCGGCUAGAUUACAGAACAGUUAUACAUCUGUAUGAACACACUACUGGGACAGGGCACUAGUGUUGUACACAAGGAGAGCACCUCCUCCCAGGAUUCCAACAAGAGUCACAGCCCAGAUAAGCAGCCCAGUAGUCCCUCCAACAUAGACAUCACCUCCCUCGGACCACUCCUCUGGGGUAUAAAUUGGGCUGUAACCAUCGACAUUAGCACCAUAUUUGUCGACAAAUUGAUAAACACCCUUACCCUUAGCCUUUCUUCCAGAUGCAUCUAGACCGUUCUCCAGGCUCAUUCCACCUCCAGUACCAUAAGGGGUGGCAGUCUUGAUCUUCUUGACCCCGCUGGCCGAAACCCUAAAAGCAGAGUUGGACCUCGCCAAGGACGGCAGGCCCUUCACCACCUGUGUCUUCUCGAACAGCGGGGACGAUGGCUUCAGUGCCAGGGACGACAUCACAACCGAGGCUGCCAU
rnacentral:misc_RNA from 1 species